rnacentral:rRNA from 1 species
GACGAACGCUGGCGGCGUGCUUAACACAUGCGAGUCGAACGGAAAGGCCCCUUUGGGGGUACUCGAGUGGCGAACGGGUGAGUAACACGUGAGUAACCUGCCCUUGACUUCGGGAUAACUUCAGGAAACUGGGGCUAAUACCGGAUAGGAAUCCUUGCUGCAUGGUGGGGGUUGGAAAGCUUCGGCGGGUUUGGAUGGACUCGCGGCUUAUCAGCUUGUUGGUGGGGUAGUGGCUUACCAAGGCUGUGACGGGUAGCCGGCCUGAGAGGGCGACCGGCCACAUUGGGACUGAGAUACGGCCCAGACUCCUACGGGAGGCAGCAGUGGGGAAUAUUGCACAAUGGGCGGAAGCCUGAUGCAGCAACGCCGCGUGCGGGAUGACGGCCUUCGGGUUGUAAACCGCUUUCAGCAGGGGCGAAGCUUGUGGUGACGGUACCUGCAGAAGAAGCACCGGCUAACUACGUG